rnacentral:piRNA from 1 species
UUUUCUUUGAUCACACUCCUC